GGGCCAGACUCCUACGGGAGGCAGCAGUGGGGAAUAUUGCACAAUGGGCGCAAGCCUGAUGCAGCCAUGCCGCGUGUAUGAAGAAGGCCUUCGGGUUGUAAAGUACUUUCAGCGGGGAGGAAGGUGUUGAGGUUAAUAACCUCAGCAAUUGACGUUACCCGCAGAAGAAGCACCGGCUAACUCCGUGCCAGCAGCCGCGGUAAUACGGAGGGUGCAAGCGUUAAUCGGAAUUACUGGGCGUAAAGCGCACGCAGGCGGUCUGUCAAGUCGGAUGUGAAAUCCCCGGGCUCAACCUGGGAACUGCAUUCGAAACUGGCAGGCUGGAGUCUUGUAGAGGGGGGUAGAAUUCCAGGUGUAGCGGUGAAAUGCGUAGAGAUCUGGAGGAAUACCGGUGGCGAAGGCGACCCCCUGGACAAAGACUGACGCUCAGGUGCGAAAGCGUGGGGAGCAAACAGGAUUAGAUACCCCUGUAC
rnacentral:rRNA from 1 species